AUGGAGAUUGACUUCUUGGAGCUAGUCAACGUCUGGAAAUCACGCGGCAACUCUCGCUCAAUUGUUGCGCCUAUCUUGGAGGAAUUAGAGGAGAUUAGUGCUAGUUUUGCUUCUUUGACGGUUACUCAUAUUGGUAGAUCUUGUAAUGUACCAGCCCAUCAGUGUGCUCGUCUCGCUUGUUCACUGGAUGGCACUGAAAGCUGGAUUGAUCCCAGCCCUGAGUUCUUACGUUCUUGUUUAAGAACUGAUUGUAACCUCAUGCUACUUGAUCAAUAA
rnacentral:rRNA from 1 species